GACGAACGCUGGCGGCGUGCCUAAUACAUGCAAGUCGAGCGCAGGAAACUGACGGAACUCUUCGGAGGGAACGCAGCGGAAUGAGCGGCGGACGGGUGAGUAACACGUAAGGAACCUGCCUCAAGGAUUGGGAUAACUCCGAGAAAUCGGAGCUAAUACCGGAUAGUUCAUCGGACCGCAUGGUCCGUUGAUGAAAGGCGCUCCGGCGUCACCUUGAGAUGGCCUUGCGGUGCAUUAGCUAGUUGGUGGGGUAACGGCCCACCAAGGCGACGAUGCAUAGCCGACCUGAGAGGGUGAUCGGCCACACUGGGACUGAGACACGGCCCAGACUCCUACGGGAGGCAGCAGUAGGGAAUCUUCCACAAUGGACGAAAGUCUGAUGGAGCAACGCCGCGUGAGUGAUGAAGGUUUUCGGAUCGUAAAACUCUGUUGUAAGGGAAGAACACGUACGAGAGGAAAUGCUCGUACCUUGACGGUACCUUACGAGAAAGCCACGGCUAACUACGUGCCAGCCGCCGCAGUAA
rnacentral:rRNA from 1 species